UGUGGUGGUGUAUGCCUGUAAUUCCUGCUGCUAUUGAUGCAGAGGUUGAUGGAUCAGUUGAGCCCAGAAGUUCUGAGCCACAAUGUGCUAAACUCAUCAGGUAUCCAUACUAAGUCUAGCACCAAUGUUGGGAGCUUCUGGGAACAAGGGUCAACUAGGCUGCCUAAGGAGGAGUGAACCAACCCCGGUCAGAAAAGGAGCAGGUUAAAACUCCCAUCCCAGUUAGAAGGAGAUUGGGCCCAUGAGUGACUGUUGUACUUCUAGCCUGAGCAAAAUAGGGAAAGACCAGUCUUU
rnacentral:SRP_RNA from 1 species